UGAUGACUUGUAUGAAGGAUUGGAUGAAAUAUAAACUGUCUCUUGAUUAAAUAUGGAAUUUAAUUUUUUAAUUAAAAAGUUAAAAUAAUUUAAAAAGACGAGAAGACCCUAUAGAGUUUUAUAAAUAAAUUAAUUAAGAUUAUUUAUUAAAUUAAAAUUGAAAUUGGAGUAUUUAUUAUAUUGGGGUGAUAGAAAAAUAUGAUUAACUUUUUUUAUGAAUAUAACAUAUAUAAGUGGUUAAAUGAUCCAAUAUUAUUGAUUAUAAGAAAAAAUUACCUUAGGGAUAACAGCGUAAUUUUUUUUUUUAGUUCAUAUAAGAAAAAGAGUUUGCGACCUCGAUGUUGGAUUAAGAUAAAAUUUAAAUGCAGAAG
rnacentral:rRNA from 1 species